CAUCUAUGCCAUCUCUACUUUCUGUUUUGGUUUCUUUUUGUUUAGCACGGCAUCAGAAUAGUCAAGAUUCUGAAAAUCACCGAUAUUGAAACUCACAAGGUCAAUAAUUUCAAGUCCUCCAGCUAUAUAAUACUUUUUCUUUUAUAAUGAGACAAGUCGGCGGUUAUUUUUAUCAGACUCUAAUGUAUCUGUUUAUUAAUCAGUAUUCAAGAUCAAUAGAAUGUAUGAUGUGAUGAGACACGCACAUACUGCUGCAACUAAUGAAGAAAUAGCAGUACCCAUAAAAGUAUGGUUCGCUCACGCAAA